rnacentral:sRNA from 1 species
AGAAGAUACAAACAAACCAAAUAUAACCAACCAUAUGAUGCAAACAAUGCCAAGUAAAAGCUCAGAAUGAAGGGAGGCAUAAAUGUGAAAAGGAUUUUCCCCAAGAGAGGAGUUACCACCACGAUUUUCGAACGAAUCGAAAUCUGAAAGUGCUACAAUUCAACGAAUUGGGGCUGAUCGAUCUAUAAAGGAGCCAUAUGAAAAUAUUGCCUGAUUUUUGAUUUAGGUCCUUUCGACCUCACUGACAUCGAACUUAAGCCCUCGCGCCACCAUUCUGUCCACAUAAAUCAGGAAUUUCUCCAGAAUUUCGAUUGUAGCUAUCCUAAUGGCACAUCUGUUCCUGAAACAUCGUACACUCGUCCGGCAGUAUUUGAAUCGACAUACAGAUACUCGUGCCCAUAACUAAGAGUCUUAAACAUAACUUUCGUCAGAGAAGGGAAUUAAAGCCUCUACAUCAAUAUGAGGCAGAGGAAGAACUAUGUGGUCUACGGACUGAUUCGUAAACUAAAUCUGCCUUUAGACGAUAAGACAUGCCAUAUGUAAUUUCAAAACAGCAACUCUGAAAGUUAUAUACAUCGUUUGGUACGUAUGAACAAUUUAAUAAAACAAAUGGAUUUUGGAAUAAAUAUGCAACUUUUCGAAUAAA